rnacentral:rRNA from 1 species
AGAACGAACGCUGGCGGCAUGCCUAAUACAUGCAAGUCGAACGAAGGCUUCGGCCUUAGUGGCGCACGGGUGCGUAACGCGUGGGAAUCUGCCCCUUGGUUCGGAAUAACAGUUGGAAACGACUGCUAAUACCGGAUGAUGACGAAAGUCCAAAGAUUUAUCGCCAAGGGAUGAGCCCGCGUAGGAUUAGCUAGUUGGUGAGGUAAAGGCUCACCAAGGCGACGAUCCUUAGCUGGUCUGAGAGGAUGAUCAGCCACACUGGGACUGAGACACGGCCCAGACUCCUACGGGAGCAGCAGUAGGGAAUAUUGGACAAUGGGCGAAAGCCUGAUCCAGCAAUGCCGCGUGAGUGAUGAAGGCCUUAGGGUUGUAAAGCUCUUUUACCCGAGAUGAUAAUGACAGUAUCGGGAGAAUAAGCCCCGGAUAACCUCCGCGCCACGCAGCCGC